rnacentral:lncRNA from 1 species
UCUCUCCUAUGCCCACCCUUUCUCUGUCCUCCCCCUCCCUAUAACCCUAAGCUCUCUAGAAACGCAGCAUCAACUGAUAAACUUUCUCUCUCUAUUGGUUCUCUCAUCCUUUGGCCUUCUCCUUUUCCCUAUUUCUUUCUCUAGAUUUGGAUGAUGGUGAAGCCUUUUCCCUGUUUCUCUCUAGAUUUGGAUGAUGGUGAAGCCUUUUGACAAUCACAAAGCCUUACCCCUCUAUCAUUGGGUUUGGAAAGCUCAAGUGGGGUAGAGAGAUAAGAUGGGGAAAUGGCAGUGCAAGUGAUGGAAAGGGGUUUCUAGGUUUUCACAGAGGAACAACCAUUGAAAGAAUAGGAAGAUCUCUUAGAGAGAAAAAGAGUGUUGAAAUCUUUGGUGGGUUUUUAGAGGAGGAGAGAGUGAGGGGUGGUGAGUGAUGCCAUUGCGGCCUCCUAGACUUAGAGAGAGAGAGUCGUAGAGAUAGCACAGAGAGAACGGGGGUUGGAUUUAACACCUAAACUUUCAUUGUGCGUGAAGGAAAGAGGAGAGAAAGCGUGAAGGAAAGAGGAGAGAAAAAGUGGCGUGAGAGGGA